GACGAACGCUGGCGGCAAGCCUAACACAUGCAAGUCGAACGAGUGGCGGACGGGUGAGUAAUGUCUGGGAAACUGCCUGAUGGAGGGGGAUAACUACUGGAAACGGUAGCUAAUACCGCAUACCAUCGGAUGUGCCCAGAUGGGAUUAGCUAGUAGGUGGGGUAAAGGCUAACCUAGGCGACGAUCCCUAGCUGGUCGGAGAGGUUGAGCAGCCACACUGGAACUGAGACACGGUCCAGACCCCUACGGUAGGCAGCAGUGGGGAAUUUUGCACAAUGGGCCCAAGCCUGAUGCAGCCAUGCCGCGUGUAUGAAGAAGGCCUUCGGGUUGUAAAGUACUUUCAGCGGUGAGGCGUUACCCGCAGAAGAUGCACCGGCUAACUCCGUGCCAGCCGCCGCGGUAAUAC
rnacentral:rRNA from 1 species